UGUAACCAGUGAAUUUUUCCUUGUCGUUACAGUGAUUUCUAUAACCAUGGAACAAAGAGUAAUUUAGCCCAUGUAAGUUGUGACUUUGAACAUUUUGCACAUCAACCAACUCUGCUAACCGGUCACAGCCAGAGCAAUGACGGAACCAAAAGAAAAACGAAGACAAUGCUUGAAAGUUGCUUCAUCUCCCAGUACCACCUGCCACUCCAGCUCAGAGAAGGUGAGACAAGUGGCUUUUUGCUGUUGAUUGUCAGUGUUUUAUUGAAGGCUUGUACUCUACUAAAGAAAGCAAAGUCAGUGCUGGGGUAAAUUUCUGGCAGAUAUUUAAACUUCUGAGAGGGUGAAUGCCAUUUAG
ensembl:lincRNA